AGAGGCGGAGGGUACCCCUGGGGUAGGGGUGAAAUCCUAUAAUCCCAGGGGGACCGCCAGUGGCGAAGGCGCUCCGCUGGAACGGGUCCGACGGUGAGGGACGAAGGCCAGGGGAGCGAACCGGAUUAGAUACCCGGGUAGUCCUGGCUGUAAAGGAUGCGGGCUAGGUGUCGGGCGAGCUUCGAGCUCGCCCGGUGCCGAAGGGAAGCCGUUAAGCCCGCCGCCUGGGGAGUACGGCCGCAAGGCUGAGACUUAAAGGAAUUGGCGGGGGAGUACUACAAGGGGUGAAGCGUGCGGUUUAUUUGUAUUCAACGCCGGGAACCUCACCGGGGGCGACGGCAGGAUGAAGGCCAGGCUGAAGGUCUUGCCGGACGCGCCGAGAGGAGGUGCAUGGCCGCCGUCAGCUCGUACCGUGAGGCGUCCACUUAAGUGUGGUAACGAGCGAGACCCGCGCCCCCAGUUGCCAGUCCUCCCCGCUGGGGAGGAGGCACUCUGGGGGGACCGCCGGCGAUAAGCCGGAGGAAGGAGCGGGCGACGGUAGGUCAGUAUGCCCCGAAACCCCCGGGCUACACGCGCGCUACAAUGGGCGGGACAAUGGGAUCCGACCCCGAAAGGGGAAGGGAAUCCCCUAAACCCGCCCUCAGUUCGGAUCGCGUCUCAACUCGCCCGCGUGAAGCUGGAAUCCCUAGUACCCGCGUGUCAUCUCGCGCGCGAUAAAACAU
rnacentral:rRNA from 1 species